AUACGGAGGAUCCGAGCGUUAUCCGGAUUUAUUGGGUUUAAAGGGUGCGCAGGCGGCCAUUUAAGUCAGCGGUUAAAUCGUGGGGCUCAACCCCAUUCUGCCGUUGAUACUGGGUGGCUUGAUUGCGGUCGAGGUUGGCGGAAUUCGUUGUGUAGCGGUGAAAUGCAUAGAUAUGACGAAGAACACCGAUUGCGUAGGCAGCUGACCAGACCGCAAAUGACGCUCGUGCACGAAAGUGCGGGGAUCGAACAGGAUUAGAUACCCUGGUAGUCCGCACAGUAAACGAUGAAUACUUGUUUUCGGCGAUAUAAUGUCGGAGGCAAAGCGAAAGCGAUAAGUAUUCCACCUGGGGAGUACGCCGGCAACGGUGAAACUCAAAUGAAUUGACGGGG
rnacentral:rRNA from 1 species